rnacentral:rRNA from 1 species
GACAGAGGCCCCAAGCGUUAGGCGGAAUCACUGGGCGUUAAAGCGUGUGUAGGCGGAUCGUUAAGUGUCUUGUGAAAUCCCCACGGCUCACCCGUGGAACUGCUGGGCAUACUGGCGAUCUUGGGCCAACUAGGGGCAGUCGGAACAAGCGGUGGAGCGGUGAAAUGCCGUAGAUAUCGCUUGGAACGCCGAAGGUGAAAACAGACUGCUGGG